ACAGUACGCUUGGAUGAAAUCUGACCUUGAAUCUGUCGGCAGAUUCAGUACACCAUGGAUAGUUUUCACAGGUCAUCGACCUAUGUACUCCACUCAACUGCGGGGGAUUUAUUUCUAAACUUUACCAGGUGUGGAUCCGAAAUUUGUAGCAGCUGUGGAACCAUUGCUCUUGAGAAACAAGGUUGAUUUAGCAGUGUGGGGGCAUGUUCACAAUUACCUGCGAACUUGUGCUGUGUUUCAGGGCGCUGCCUGCAGCACCCGAUCAAGGAUUUAGCAGGUGUCGAUUUCUUUGACACUACAAUUUACUCAGCUCCAGUUCACACCGUGGUUGGCAUGGCUGAAUUCACCUUGGAUGACUUCCCUCAUAAUGUAAGCUUGCAGCUUUGUUUCCUAUAUUCAAGCUCUUUAUAUGGUAUUGAUAUUCUACCUUUUCUAUUUUUUUUGUCGACA